CGAGAGUUUGCAUGAGAGUUUUCUCAACUCUCGUACUCUGGUCAAACGAGAACAAGAGUUGCAUGAGAGUUGAUGAGAGUUGAGAAGCGAGAGUUUGCAUGAGAGUUUUCUCAACUCUCGUACUGAGAGUUGAUGAGAGUUGAGAAGCGAGAGUUUGCAUGAGAGUUUUCUCAACUCUCGUGCCCCGGUCAAACGAGAACAAGAGUUGCAUGAGAGUUGAUGAGAGUUGAGAAGCGAGAGUUUGCAUGAGAGUUUUCUCA
rnacentral:lncRNA from 1 species